CAUCUAAACAGGUUCCCAGUAGACAGUCUGGCCCCAGAGAGCAGUCCUGCUGAGUACCUCGUAGGAGCCGGGCACCAUUCCAAGCACAUCCCACCGUUAACACAUUUAGGCCUCACCACAGUCCUAUAAGGUCUGAAGCCUUCCAGCGAGUAAGAGCUCCCACUGAAGAUCGAAGGCAGGCGGGCUUGCGGGGAGGCAAAGAAAUGACCUUGAGGACAGAUGCCCGGGCCCAGCAGAGGGCAGACUUGCAGUUCACAGCAGGAAUCUAUCCCGUGGCGAACACUGCAAGAAAGACCGCGUGACUCCCUGGAACCCAGGCUGUGUUAGCCGCGUGGCCUGUUCACUGUGGGCCGGGAACCAUGAUAACAGUGUCGGGAAAAGAUUUUAGUUGUUAUGAUUAUAAAAGCGAAACAAAGAAUGGUCACUGUGGGAAGAGUAGAAGAGGUGAGUGAGGAAAGGAAUGAGAAGAGUGAUGUCCCCAGGCUCGCCCGGUGAGCACCAGGGUUAACAGAACCAAUUUUUGCCUUUUGGGAGGUGAGCUGGCCCCAGCUGGAAAUGGAUGGAACAGGGAGCUAGCUGGAAGCCAGCUGCAUGGAGACCUGAGACACUGCCCACAGGGGUCAGCUGUGCUGCAGAGUCGAGAUGAGGAUACUGCUGGAUUCAGUAGGAUUUGUCCAAGGCCACAGCGCUGGAUUGAAAGUCAUGGUAA